UACGUAGGGUGCGAGCGUUAAUCGGAAUUACUGGGCGUAAAGCGUGCGCAGGCGGCUUUGCAAGACAGAUGUGAAAUCCCCGGGCUCAACCUGGGAACUGCAUUUGUGACUGCAAGGCUAGAGUACGGCAGAGGGGGAUGGAAUUCCGCGUGUAGCAGUGAAAUGCGUAGAUAUGCGGAGGAACACCAAUGGCGAAGGCAAUCCCCUGGGCCUGUACUGACGCUCAGGUGCGAAAGCGUGGGGAGCAAACAGG
rnacentral:rRNA from 1 species